rnacentral:rRNA from 1 species
GACGAACGCUGGCGGCGUGCUUAACACAUGCAAGUCGAACGGUAAGGCCCUUCGGGGUACACGAGUGGCGAACGGGUGAGUAACACGUGGGUGAUCUGCCCUGCACUUCGGGAUAAGCCUGGGAAACUGGGUCUAAUACCGGAUAGGACUCCUGGCUUCAUGGUUGGGGGUGGAAAGCUUUUGCGGUGUGGGAUGGGCCCGCGGCCUAUCAGCUUGUUGUUGGGGUAAUGGCCUACCAAGGCGACGACGGGUAGCCGGCCUGAGAGGGUGACCGGUGACACUGGGACUGGGAUACGGCCCAGACUCCUACGGGAGGCAGCAGUGGGGAAUAUUGCACAAUGGGCGCAAGCCUGAUGCAGCGACGCCGCGUGAGGGAUGACGGCCUUCGGGUUGUAAACCUCUUUCAGCUAUGACGAAGCGCAAGUGACGGUAGUAGCAGAAGAAGGACCGGCCAACUACGUGCCAGCCGCCGCGGUAAUAC